GAGUUAGAAGUUAGUAUUGUUUUUCUUUUUCUUUUUGUUUUUUAGUCAUUCUUUGGAGAACACUCAACCCACUUAUCACAAGCAUGGAUCCUUGAACCAAGACAUCUUCCAAAAGGAAGGAAAAGGCCAAGUUUCCAUACAAUACCAUGAAAGAGGGGAGACUUACAAUCUCACUAACUAGAAUGCUAUGCCUUUUUGUGUCAC
rnacentral:lncRNA from 1 species